AUUGAACGCUGGCGGCAUGCUUUACACAUGCAAGUCGGACGAGUGGCGAACGGGUGAGUAACGCCUCGGAACGUACCGGGUAGAGGGGGAUAACUGUUCGAAACGAUAGCUAAUACCGCAUAUUAUCAGAGCUGCCGAUGUCGGAUUAGCUGGUUGGUGGGGUAAAGGCACACCAAGGCGACGAUCCGUAGCGGGUCUGAGAGGAUGACCAGCCACACUGGGACUGAGACACGGCCCAGACUCCUACGGGGGGCAGCAGUGGGGAAUUUUGGACAAUGGGCGCAAGCCUGAUGCAGCCAUGCCGCGUGUCUGAAGAAGGCCUUCGGUUUGUAAAGGACUUUUGUCAGGGAAGCGGUACCUGAAGAAUAAGCACCGGCUAACUACGUGCCAGCAGCCGCGGUAAUAC
rnacentral:rRNA from 1 species